rnacentral:lncRNA from 1 species
UAAAAUAUUAGUAGGUUUUUCUAUAUGAAUGGGAUUUUGAAUAAAUAAGCAUAUUCACCUGCGGAAAAAGGAUAUUCACCGUGCAAAACGUCGCGUGCUUUUACGUGUAUAAUUUUGGUAAAAAACGUUUGAUGUACAAUUGGUUUUGGUAAAUAUUUUCCAUUACAUUAAUUUCUCUCGGAAUAUGGAAUAAAACAUUUACUGUCUUUUGUUUCGGUAAAUAUGUGGUUUAAUUGACUUUUGAAAAACUGAUAUUCACUUCGGCCGUUGGCCUCAGUGAAUAUCAGUUUUUCAAAAGUCAAUAAAACCACACAUUUACCUC